GCACGCUGUAACUGCCUUGCUGAAUCUCUCACUCCAUGAGUCUAAUAAAGUUAUAAUCACGAAUGCUGGAGCCAUAAAGUCGCUGGUUUAUGCGCUCAAAACCGGCACCGAAACUUCGAAACAGAAUGCGGCUUGUGCUCUGAUGAGCCUUGCUUUGUUGGAGGAAAACAAGACUUCGAUUGGGGUUUGCGGGGCCAUUCCACCACUGGUAUCUUUACUACUGAAU
rnacentral:misc_RNA from 1 species